UUUCCUCUGCUCUGCUCCUCUCCUCUCUUUCUUCUUCCCCCCAAAACCCCUCUCCUAUCCCCUGCUCCAUGCGCCCCCGCCCUCAAGGCUGCUGAAGCCCUAGCCGCCGCGUCGUGAUGCCUCCGCGGCUGUCCCUCCACUCGCUCCUCCUCAUGGCCGCCUCCGCCUCAUCCCCCGCCGCCGCAGCCGGCGGGGACUCCGGCCUCCUCCUCGCUGCGCGGCGUCGCCUCCGCGUCGCUGCUGCCUCAGGCGGCCACCGCAUCCGGCUGCUCCAUUCCUUAUCCGGGAGCCGCCUCCACAGGCGGCCCGAGGUGGUCUGCUGCGUGAGGAGCGCCCCGGAUGCGCGGCCUGUCGGCCCCGUCGCCGUGCGCUCCAGGAACGUUCAUUCGGUGAACAACUACACAGUUGUUUGUGAUGAGAGACUUGGGCAGCUAGUUAAGAAGUUGAAUAAAGAAGGUAUUCAUCCCAAGCAAUGGAGGCUUGGAAAUUUUCAACGCAUGAUGUGCCCAAAGUGCAAGGGUGGAUCAACUGAGGAAUUGAGCCUUAGUGUUUACAUCCGAAUGGACGGUAUGAAUGCAACAUGGAAUUGUUUUAGAUCGAACUGUGGUUGGAGAGGUUUUGUCCAACCUGAUGGAGUUUCCAAGGUAUCCCAAGGAAAAAGUGACAUAGGAAGUGAAACUGACCAGGAGGUUGAAGCUAACAAUGCAUCAAAUAAGGUUUACAGAAAACUCAGUGAAGAGUACCUCAAUCUUGAGCCACUUUGUGAUGAGCUCAUAACAUACUUUUCUGAAAGAAUGAUAUCGGCAGAAACACUUCGAAGGAAUAAAGUAAUGCAACGUAACUGGAACAGUAAGAUAGCUAUCGCUUUCACGUAUAGACGUGAUGGAAUCCUUAUUGGCUGCAAAUACAGGGAGGUUUCAAAGAAAUUUUCACAGGAGGCGAAAACGGAGAGAAUUUUAUAUGGUCUGGACGAUAUAAAGCGUGCACACGAUAUUAUCAUUGUUGAGGGUGAAAUUGAUAAACUCUCCAUGGAAGAGGCUGGUUAUCGUAAUUGUGUCAGUGUGCCAGAUGGUGCGCCACCACGAGUAUCAGACAAACUCCCAAAUAAAGAGCAGGAUAAGAAAUACCAAUAUCUGUGGAACUGCAAAGACUAUCUUGACUCGGCAUCUAGGAUAAUACUGGCAACAGAUGCUGACCCUCCAGGGCAGGCUCUUGCUGAGGAACUGGCUCGUCGACUUGGUAAAGAAAGAUGUUGGAGAGUCAACUGGCCAAAGAGGAACAAAGCAGAUAUUUGCAAAGAUGCAAAUGAGGUACUGAUGUUUUUAGGUCCACAAGCAUUGAGAAAAGUUAUAGAAGAUGCAGAGCUGUAUCCAAUAAGGGGCCUUUUCUCCUUCAGAGAUUUCUUCCCCGAUAUCGAUAGUUAUUAUUUUGGAACCUGUGGGGAUGAGCUUGGUAUCCAUACUGGUUGGAAAUCUAUGGACGACAUUUACAAGGUUGUUCCUGGAGAGUUGACUGUAGUAACAGGAGUACCAAACUCUGGUAAAAGUGAGUGGAUUGAUGCUUUAAUGUGCAAUAUAAACAACCAAUGUGGGUGGAAAUUUGUUCUAUGCUCCAUGGAAAAUAAGGUCAGGGAUCAUGCUAGGAAGCUCUUAGAGAAGCGCAUUAAGAAACCAUUCUUUGAUGCUAGGUAUGGUGGGUCUGCGGAACGAAUGACUCCUGAUGAUUUUGAAGUAGGCAAACAAUGGUUGAACGAGACGUUCCAUUUGAUCCGGUGUGAAGAUGAUAGCCUUCCAUCCAUUAAUUGGGUUCUUGACCUUGCCAAAGGCGCAGUUCUGAGAUAUGGAGUGCGUGGUCUUGUGAUUGAUCCUUAUAAUGAACUUGACCAUCAGCGCUCCUCAAACCAAACUGAGACAGAAUAUGUCAGCCAGAUUCUUACCAAGAUUAAGCGCUUUGCUCAGCAUCAUUCAUGUCAUGUAUGGUUUGUUGCGCAUCCUAGACAGCUUCAUAACUGGAAUGGUGGCCCACCUAAUAUGUAUGACAUAAGUGGGAGUGCACAUUUCAUAAACAAAUGUGAUAAUGGAAUUGUCAUCCACCGAAACAGGGAUCCAAAUGCUGGCCCUAUUGAUGUUGUGGAGGUUUAUGUGAGGAAGGUGCGGAACAAAGUGAUUGGGCAAAUAGGAGAUGCUUUCUUGUCAUAUGACCGGGUUACUGGUGAGUUUAAGGAUGCUGAUAAAGCCACUGUAGCAGCGGUAACCGCUGCACAAACAAAAAAAUCACGCAGCACAUGACAUGGCAUUUCCGCAUUCUGUUGAAGCUUAAACUUCCUUUAAGGUCUGACUUCUGCCGAAGAUCAAAUGCCUGGCCUCUGUGAUCUUCCUCAAUCUCCUGCUCUAAUAUCAAUCGACAGCAGUGAGACCCCAUGGUUGUUUCUGGGGAUGGCCCGUUGCAGCUUGCUAUAUGAUCGAGACCAUUGGCCGGCUUCAUACUUAGGAGUAUAAUUCUUCUGCAACUUUGUACUCACGAAUUGGAUCGGCAACCUCAGGUGUCCACUGACUCCUAGCGCAAAUGAGGUUGAAGGGGGUAACCUUACUCAGAUGACUACAACACAUUGGAUUGCUGGGGUAGUGAUAGUAAGCUUCUGGUAAUUGAUUGCUACACCAGGUGCUGCUAGUGUUAUGAACAUUUAGGUGGUUCUAUCGGUAGGGAAAUAUUGGGUGGUUAGGUUAUAAUUUAUUAUGUCGGCCCUUCCAAAAUUUGUACCAGUUGGAAAGGCAUCUAUUACUCCCGACCCAUAUUUAUUCCAGCAUGUGUACCUAUGACCAGAAACCUGUGUUUAAGGUACCAGAACUGUGGAAUCUGGUGUUUUCUUCUGCCACCGAAGACAUGCAAAACAAUUCAUCAGUCAUUAUAAACUGGCAAUCUGUUGAGAA